UCAAGAGUACGUGAAACCGCUUAGAGGCAAACGGGUGGACCCGCAAAAUGAGGUCGACCCGGGGGAUUCAACCGGGCCGUUGCGAUCGGGACGCGUGGGGGUUAUGCGGAGCUGUAAAGCCCGUGCCUCUGCGUGGGUCUCCGGGCGGACCGGUGCACUUUCCUCGGGUCGAUUGCCACGACCGGCUCUCCCUGCGGCCACAAGCCAGUUGCCGGGAAGGUGACCGUGGGCCUCCGCGCCCGCGGUGUUUACAGCCCGGCUCGCUGGUUGAGCUCGUGGGGGGGCCGAGGAAGUUGCCGUUUCUCGUCGCCCUCCGGCCAUCCUUGCUCGUCACGACUGGGGCGAACUGUCUGGUCAGUGCUCUCCCGACCGCGAGCGUAGGAAGGGCUGGUUACGGUGCGAGAAUUAGCUUCGGGCCGGUGGCGAAUCGGUCGGUCCUCCACCCGACCCGUCUUGAAACACGGACC
rnacentral:rRNA from 1 species